rnacentral:lncRNA from 1 species
AUGGGCAAAGGAGACCCUAAGAAGCGGAAGCGGAGAGGCAAAAUGUCCUCAUAUGCAUCUUCGUGCAAACCUUCUGGGUGGAGCAUAAGAAAGAGCACUCGGAUGCAUUUGCCAGCACCUUGGCCUUAAGACUUGCAUCAGAGAGAUGGGACUACAUCUGCUGCUAAAGAAAAGAGGAGAUCUGAAGGCGUGGCAAAGGUUAUCAUGAAAAUCUACAUCUCCCUGAAAUGGGGCACCAAAAAGAAGUUUAAGGACCCCAGUGCACCGAAGAGGCCUCCUCCUGCCUUCUUGUUGUGUUCUGAGUACCGCCCCCAACCUGCUGAUCUUGUGAAGAAGCUAGGAGAGAUGUGGAACAGGUAUGGCUGCAGGUGACAAGUGACAAGCAGCCCUGGGAGGAGAAGGCUAUGGAGCUGAGG